AAACCAGCACCUCAAGUGGUCAGGAGGAUUAUUGGGCCUAAAGCAUCCGUAGCUUGCUGCAUAAGUUUUCGGUUAAAUCCGUACGCUCAACGUAUGGGCUGCCGGGAAUACUGCAGAGCUAGGGAGUGGGAGAGGUAGACGGUACUCGGGAGGAAGUGGUAAAAUGCUUUGAUCUCUCGAUGACCACCUGUGGCGAAGGCGGUCUACCAGAACACGUUCGACGGUGAGGGAUGAAAGCUGGGGGAGCAAACCGGAUUAGAUACCCGGGUAGUCC
rnacentral:rRNA from 1 species